AUGCCUGGGCUGAGUUCCAUGAAAAAUGUUCCCACAAUUCCUUGGAGAGUGAAGAAAUGAUUCCUCAUGGAAGCAGCUAAAGAAGCAGCCAUACAGAGGGUCAUGUGGGACAGGAGCUUAGCCCUUACAGCAGAAAAUUAAUAAUUGAUGUACUUCAAGACCCAGUUAUACGACUCCUGCCCAUAUACCCAAAUGAUGCUCCACCAAACCACAAGAACACUUGCUCAGACCAGAGUCUAGCAUAAUGGUCAUCAGAGAGGCUUCAUCCAGCAACUGACUGGAGUCGAUGCAGAGACCAAACAUUAUGAGGACCUUGGGGUACCCUGCAGAAAAUGCGGGGUGUUGUAAGAGCUGGAAGAGUCAAGGACACAGGAGAAGAUGGCCCAAAGAAGCAACUAAUUGGGGCUCAUAGGAGCUCACCGAUAUUGAAUUGACAAUCAGGAAACCUGUGUGAGUCUGACCUAGGUCCUCUGCAUUUAUGUUAUGGUUGUAAAGAUUGGUGUUCUUGUAGGACUCCUAACAGUGGGAGGUGGGUAUCUCUGACUCUUUUGCCUGGUUUUGGAAACCUAAUCCUCAUACUGAGUUGCCUC